rnacentral:rRNA from 1 species
UACGUAGGGUGCGAGCGUUGUCCGGAAUUAUUGGGCGUAAAGAGCUUGUAGGCGGUUUGUCGCGUCUGCUGUGAAAAUCCGGGGCUCAACCCCGGACUUGCAGUGGGUACGGGCAGACUAGAGUGUGGUAGGGGAGACUGGAAUUCCUGGUGUAGCGGUGAAAUGCGCAGAUAUCAGGAGGAACACCGGUGGCGAAGGCGGAUCUCUGGGCCAGUAUUGACGCUGAGGAGCGAAAGCGUGGGUAGCAAACAGG